AGGCCUCUGGCUGGCUCAAUCUGGAGAGCAUGCGACUCUAGAUCUUGGUGUUGUGAGUUUAAGCUGCAUGUUGGCUG